GUCGAUGUGGUGUAAUGGUUAGCAUAAGGGACUGUGGAUCCCUUGGUCUGGGUUCAAAUCCCAGCAUCGACC
rnacentral:tRNA from 1 species